rnacentral:rRNA from 1 species
GCGUGAGAAUCUGCCCUCAGGAGGGGGAUAACGGUUGGAAACGGCCGCUAAUACCCCAUAUGCCGAGAGGUGAAACGAAUUUCGCCUGAGGAUGAGCUCGCGUCUGAUUAGCUAGUUGGUGGGGUAAAGGCCUACCAAGGCAUCGAUCAGUAGCUGGUCUGAGAGGAUGAUCAGCCACACUGGGACUGAGACACGGCCCAGACUCCUACGGGAGGCAGCAGUGGGGAAUUUUCCGCAAUGGGCGCAAGCCUGACGGAGCAACGCCGCGUGAGGGAUGAAGGCCUCUGGGCUGUAAACCUCUUUUAUCAAGGAAGAAGAUCUGACGGUACUUGAUGAAUAGGCCACGGCUAAUUCCGUGCCAGCAGCCGCGGUAAUACGGGAGUGGCAAGCGUUAUCCGGAAUUAUUGGGCGUAAAGCGUCCGCAGGCGGUCUUGUAAGUCUGUCGUUAAAGCGUGGAGCUUAACUCCAUUUGAGUGAUGGAAACUGUAAGACUAGAGUGUGUAGGG